rnacentral:rRNA from 1 species
UACAGAGGUCUCAAGCGUUGUUCGGAAUUACUGGGCGUAAAGGGCGCGUAGGCGGCCUGCUAAGUCGAACGUGAAAUCCCUGGGCUCAACCCAGGAACUGCGUCCGAUACUGGUUGGCUUGAAUCCGGGAGAGGGACGUGGAAUUCCAGGUGUAGCGGUGAAAUGCGUAGAUAUCUGGAGGAACACCGGUGGCGAAGGCGACGUCCUGGACCGGCAUUGACGCUGAGGCGCGAAAGCCAGGGGAGCAAACGGG